CGCUACUGUAUCUGUGACAGCUGGGUCCCCAACCCCAAAACCAAGGUGUGCUACAUCGUCAAGUCAGUGGUACCCACCACAGGGCCUCGAACCCGCACCAUGCUGUACCACUUAAUUCGCAGUUUCCGCGAGCUUCACAUGAUCAUUGGCUGUUUCUUGUCCUUGCCUUCCAGCAACUUCAACAAAAAAGACCACGGUUUCCUUACUCUGGUGAUAAUCCUGUUCACGAUGACCGUCUGUCUGUGGACAGCCGGCUCCUUCCAGGCGGAGCUAGAAGGG